AGUGAACGCUGGCGGUGUGCCUAACACAUGCAAGUCGAACGGCCGCACAGUAAGCUCUUGCUCUUACGGUUGGCGAGUGGCGGACGGGUAAGGAAUACAUCGGAAUCUACUUUUUCGUGGGGGAUAACGUAAGGAAACUUACGCUAAUACCUCAUACGACCUACGGGUGAAAGCAGUGGAUCUUCGGACCUUGCGCGAUUGAAUGAGCCGAUGUCGGAUUAGCUAGUUGGCGGGGUAACGGCCCACCAAGGCGACGAUGCGUAGCUGGUCUGAGAGGAUGAUCAGCCACACUGGAACUGAGACACGGUCCAGACUCCUACGGGAGGCAGCAGUGGGGAAUAUUCCACAAUGGGCGAAAGCCUGACGGAGCAACACCGCGUGAGUGAAGAAGGCCUUCGGGUCGUAAAGCCCUGUUGUUGGGGAAGAAAAGCUGUAGAAGAAACCAUCGACGUUCUGACGGUACCUAAUGAGAAAGCAACGGCUAACUUCGUG
rnacentral:rRNA from 1 species